rnacentral:rRNA from 1 species
UACGAAGGGGGCUAGCGUUGUUCGGAUUUACUGGGCGUAAAGCGCACGUAGGCGGCUUGUUAAGUCAGGGGUGAAAUCCUGGAGCUCAACUCCAGAACUGCCUUUGAUACUGGCAAUCUAGAGUCCGGAAGAGGUGAGUGGAACUCCUAGUGUAGAGGUGGAAUUCGUAGAUAUUAGGAAGAACACCAGUGGCGAAGGCGGCUCACUGGUCCGGUACUGACGCUGAGGUGCGAAAGCGUGGGGAGCAAACAGG